GCACGGCCAGGAUGUCGACCCACGUGUCUGGUACGCCUGGCAGGCACCAGUGCAUGCAGUCCUGGCCCCAGACCGCCACCGCGUCCUUCUUCCCGAGCCAAAUAGCGGGGUGGGCAUCGGCGCGGAACUCGCUCAUGUAGGUCAGGUUGAGCAGCUGGAUGUCCGUGUUCACUAGCGCUUCCUGGAUCGCCGAGUUCACUAGCCUCGCUUCUUUGUUCACUCCACCGAACCUUGGAUCAAACCAAGAGUCGAGCUGCAGAGUAUUUUAGGGAGUCAUGGCUGGGAAUAUUGAUA